rnacentral:rRNA from 1 species
CGGUAAUUCCAGCUCCAAUAGCGUAUACUAAAGUUGUUGCAGUUAAAAAGCUCGUAGUUGGAUUUCUGCGGGGACGGAGCGGCCGGACGCAACUUGCGUCUCGAGCUAGCGCUUUCCCCGCAUCCUGCCGCGAACCGUGCUACCAUUAGUUUGGUGGCGCUGGGGAUCGGCUCGAUUACUUUGAGAAAAAUAGAGUGUUCAAAGCAGGCCACACGCCUUGAAUAAGUUAGCAUGGAAUAAUGACUAAGGACUUCGGUUCUAUUUUGUUGGUGUUCGGGACUGAAGUAAUGAUUGAUAGGGACAGUUGGGGCGGUCUGUAUUCCAAAGCGAGAGGUGAUAUUCUUAGACCUUCGGAAGACAAACAGCUGCGAAAGCGUUCCGCAAGGAUGUUCCCUUUGAUCAAGAACGAAAGUUGGGGGAUCGAAGACGAUCAGAUACCGUCGUAGUCUCAACUAUAAACUAUACCAGCUAGGGAUCGGUCAACGUUUAAUUAUUCGACUUGAUCGGCACCUUAUGAGAAAUCAAAGCAUCUGGGUUCCGGGGGGAGUAUGGUCGCAAGGCUGAAACUUAAAGGAAUUGACGGAAGGGCACCACCAGCCGUGGAGCCUGUGGCUUAAUUUGACUCAACACGGGAAAACUUACCAGGUCCAGACAUAGUAAGGAUUGACAGAUUGAUAGCUCUUUCUUGAUUCUGUGGGUGGUGGUGCAUGGCCGUUCUUAGUUGGUGGAGUGAUUUGUCUGGUUAAUUCCGUUAACGAACGAGACCCCAGCCAGCUAAAUAGCGCGGCUGAGCUUUGCUCGGUGCGAGCUUCUUAGAGGGACUAUGAUGCGCGAUAGCACAUGGAAGUUUGGGGCAAUAACAGGUCUGUGAUGCCCUUAGAUGUUCUGGGCCGCACACGGGCUACACUGGCGCCUGCAACGAGUAUAUCAGCUGGCCCGAGAGGGUCUUGGCUAAUCUUUUGAACCGGCGCCGUGCUUGGGAUUGACCUUUGCAAUUGUUGGUCAUGCAACGAGGAAUGCCUUGUAAACGCGAGUCAUCAGCUCGCAUUGAAUACGUCCCUGCUCCUUGUACACACCGCCC